UACGUAGGGUGCGAGCGUUAAUCGGAAUUACUGGGCGUAAAGCGUGCGCAGGCGGUUUGCUAAGACCGAUGUGAAAUCCCCGGGCUCAACCUGGGAACUGCAUUGGAUACUAUCCGGCUAGAGGAAUGGAGGGGAGACUGGAAUACUUGGUGUAGCAGUGAAAUGCGUAGAUAUCAAGUGGAACACCAGUGGCGAAGGCGAGUCUCUGGACAUUUCCUGACGCUGAGGCACGAAAGCCAGGGGAGCAAACGGG
rnacentral:rRNA from 1 species